AAUGAACGUUGGCGGCGUGGAUUAGGCAUGCAAGUCGAGCGAGAACCGGUUUCGGCCGGGGACAGCGGCGAACGGCGUAGUAAUGCAUCGGAACGUACCCUCUGGUCGGGGAUAGCUACGGGAAACUGUAGGCAAUACCCGAUGAUCUCUGCGGAGCAAAGGUGAGAUUCCGCCGGAGGAGCGGCUGAUGUGAUAUUAGCUAGUUGGUGGGGUAAUGGCCUACCAAGGCGAUGAUGUCUAGGGGGUGUGAGAGCAUGGCCCCCACGACCGGAACUGAGAUACUGUCCGGACACCUGCGGGUGGCUGCAGUCGAGAAUCUUCCGCAAUGGACGAAAGUCUGACGGAGCGACGCCGCGUGCGGGAUGAAGGCCCUUGGGUUGUAAACCGCUGUCAGAGGGGAUGAAAUCUUCGGAGGUACUCCUCCGAAGUUGACAGAGCCUCAAAGGAAGCACGGGCUAAGUACGUGCCAGCCGCCGCAGUAACAC
rnacentral:rRNA from 1 species